rnacentral:ncRNA from 1 species
CUGUAAGGAGUUUGGCGAUGUAAGGAAUGAGUGGCAGGUUGAGGAUUAAUAGUACGAUAUUGCCUAAAUACAUCGAGAUAAUCACCGCCCAAAAAACCUCGGGCUGAUCCUCCAUCAGACGGGGCCC